AGAAUUAAGUCCCAGUUGUUGAAGAGGUGGCAGUCACCGACGUGCUCCUUCACCUGGAUGUUCACAAGUCCAUGGGGCCGGCUGGGAUCCACCCGAGGAUACUGAGGGAUCUGGCAGAGGAGCUCGCCAAGCCACUCUCCAUCAUUUAUCAGCAGUCCUGGUCAACCAGGGAGGUCCCAGAUGACUGGAAACUAGCGAAUGUGACGCCCCUCUACAAGAAGGCCUGAACCAAAAACUAUGAUGAGUUUCGGAUCCAGCCCUGAAUUCUUCCCCCGAGGCCCAUCUUUGCUUUGUAUGAGUGGCAGAAACAUUAUAUAUUUCUAGUUUUUAUUACCAGAGAAAGGUACUUUAUGUUGUGGAUAUUCAAUCUAUUGGUGUGACAGGAUGAUAUUGAUGAAGUGUGGUAAGAAACACUUCGGUUCUAAUGAUUUGAUUUCAUUUUGGUUUGACUCAUAUUUCAACACCCCCAGCUUUUAAAAGUAUGGGCCAUGUGAGAUGUAAAAUAUAUAUAUCGAUGUCGCUAAUCGGAAGCUCUUUCUGGUCACAUUGUAAAGCACACUUAAUCAACUUCUUUAAGAUCAUGUUACAGAAAGCUAUUAACUAUACUCUUAAAACAGUUAAAUAGUUAUAAAUAAUGUUUUAUAUUAUGGCUGACAACACCGAAUUGCCCAGCGUUUAAGGAAAUCUAAUCACAGGGCAUGCAGACUUUGCCUUCCAGUAAGAUGGCGUGGCAAAACAUUGGAACAUAUUAGAAAUCACAUAGUAUUGCUAACAUUUCCUAUUAAGGAGAAAGACUCUCUCUGUACAUUUUGGAUUUCUUUUCCAACACUUAAUUGCAGCUGAUGAAGAAAAGCUAUUCAAAAGCUGCCAGGAUUUUUAAAUCUGUAUGAGUGACAUUGAUGAAAUUUGUGGGUUUUCCCAAAAGAGCAUAGGUGAGAGCAGACAUGUAAAUUUUGUAUGUGUGUGGAUGUACGUGUGUGACAGAGAGAGGAGAGAGCAAGAGCUUACUCCUAAGGUGUGAGACUUGGCAGCGCUGCACUGUACAAUGGGCACAAGAAACCGCAUGUCUGUAAAUGACCACAUUUGAAUUGCUGUUAUUUCACUGGUGGGUUACUGUAUUGUUAAAGUGAAAAGGAAUGUUUGUAAUAAAUGCAAAUAAUGAAUUAAAUGCUUGCACAUA